rnacentral:tRNA from 1 species
UGGGGUGUCUGGCGCAGGUGGCGCGGUGCCUGCCGUUCGCCCGAGAGGCGCCAGAUCCAGCCCGGCGCGCUCCAG